UACGUAGGGGCCUAGCGUUGUCCGGAAUUAUUGGGCGUAAAGCGUGCGCAGGCGGCCAUCCAAGUCAGUGGUGAAAGCCCGGAGCUCAACUCCGGAAUUGCCAUUGAAACUGUUUGGCUCGAGUACGGAGAGAGGUGAGUGGAAUUCCCAGUGUAGAGGUGAAAUUCGUAGAUAUUGGGAAGAACACCGGUGGCGAAGGCGGCUCACUGGCUCGUAACUGACGCUCAUGCACGACAGCGUGGGGAUCAAACAGG
rnacentral:rRNA from 1 species